rnacentral:rRNA from 1 species
UGGUGGAGUGAUUUGUCUGGUUAAUUCCGUUAACGAACGAGACCUCAACCUGCUAAAUAGUUUGGCUUCACCCUUGUGGUGAGGUGCAAUUACUUCUUAGAGGGACUAUCGGUGCGUAGCCGGUGGAAGUUUGAGGCAAUAACG